rnacentral:rRNA from 1 species
GGAUGUUGGCUUAGAAGCAGCCAUCAUUUAAAGAAAGCGUAAUAGCUCACUGGUCGAGUCGGCCUGCGCGGAAGAUGUAACGGGGCUAAACCAUGCACCGAAGCUGCGGCAGCGACGUUUAUGCGUUGUUGGGUAGGGGAGCGUUCUGUAAGCCUGCGAAGGUGGCCUGUGAGGGUUGCUGGAGGUAUCAGAAGUGCGAAUGCUGACAUAAGUAACGAUAAAGCGGGUGAAAAGCCCGCUCGCCGGAAGACCAAGGGUUCCUGUCCAACGUUAAUCGGGGCAGGGUGAGUCGACCCCUAAGGCGAGGCCGAAAGGCGUAGUCGAUGGGAAACGGGUUAAUAUUCCCGUACUUGGUGUUACUGCGAAGGGGGGACGGAGAAGGCUAUGUUGGCCGGGCGACGGUUGUCCCGGUUUAAGCGUGUAGGCUGGUUUUCCAGGCAAAUCCGGAAAAUCAAGGCUGAGGCGUGACGACGAGGCACUACGGUGCUGAAGCAACAAAUGCCCUGCUUCCAGGAAAAGCCUCUAAGCAUCAGGUAACAUCAAAUCGUACCCCAAACCGACACAGGUGGUCAGGUAGAGAAUACCAAGGCGCUUGAGAGAACUCGGGUGAAGGAACUAGGCAAAAUGGUGCCGUAACUUCGGGAGAAGGCACGCUGACACGUAGGUGAAGUGAUUUACUCAUGGAGCUGAAGUCAGUCGAAGAUACCAGCUGGCUGCAACUGUUUAUUAAAAACACAGCACUGUGCAAACACGAAAGUGGACGUAUACGGUGUGACGCCUGCCCGGUGCCGGAAGGUUAAUUGAUGGGGUCAGCGCAAGCGAAGCUCCUGAUCGAAGCCCCGGUAAACGGCGGCCGUAACUAUAACGGUCCUAAGGUAGCGAAAUUCCUUGUCGGGUAAGUUCCGACCUGCACGAAUGGCGUAAUGAUGGCCAGGCUGUCUCCACCCGAGACUCAGUGAAAUUGAACUCGCUGUGAAGAUGCAGUGUACCCGCGGCAAGACGGAAAGACCCCGUGAACCUUUACUAUAGCUUGACACUGAACAUUGAGCCUUGAUGUGUAG